UGAGGAAUCUUGCGCAAUGGGGGAAACCCUGACGCAGCAACGCCGCGUGAGUGAGGAAGGCCUUCGGGUCGUAAAGCUCUGUCAGGUGGGAAGAAAUCGAUGAAGGUGAACAACCUCCAUCAUUGACGGUACCACCAGAGGAAGCACCGGCCAACUCCGUGCCAGCAGCCGCGGUAAUACGGGGGGUGCAAGCGUUGUUCGGAAUCAUUGGGCGUAAAGAGCGUGUAGGCGGCCAGGUAAGUCAGAUGUGAAAGCCCUGGGCUUAACCCAGGAAGUGCAUUUGAAACUGCUUGGCUAGAGUAAGGGAGAGGAAAGUGGAAUUCCUGGUGUAGAGGUGAAAUUCGUAGAUAUCAGGAGGAACACCGGUGGCGAAGGCGACUUUCUGGCCCUAUACUGACGCUCAGGCGCGAAAGCGUGGGGAGCAAACAGG
rnacentral:rRNA from 1 species